GGGGGUGACAGGUUUCGACGGACAGAUGUUUUGACCGGUGAAGCGUGUCGAGAAUCAAGGUGAUCUCGUAAAACAUCCUUGAAACAAAUAACUGCCAAAAAGACGCAGUCUGCAGACGCUUACGCCCUCGCGGCCUAAGCACUAAGUCUGCCGUCGGUCCGAUGCGUCCCCGAAUCGGGACCCGACGUCGCUAGGGGACUCACCAAUCGCUCCGGUCACGGGAGCGGGCGGAAAGCCAAACAGUGACUGGGCCGCCACCGCGCAGUGCCGCACGAAGCGCGGGGGCCGAGCAGCGAUAGCGCGGCUACACACGUAGAAGAACGGAAGAAGCCUGCACGGACCCGGGUUCGAUUCCCGGCACCUCCACCA
rnacentral:tmRNA from 1 species